rnacentral:rRNA from 1 species
AGUGAACGCUGGCGGUAGGCCUAACACAUGCAAGUCGAACGGCAGCACAGUAGGAGCUUGCUCUUACGGGUGGCGAGUGGCGGACGGGUGAGGAAUACAUCGGAAUCUACUUUUUCGUGGGGGAUAACGUAGGGAAACUUACGCUAAUACCGCAUACGACCUACGGGUGAAAGCAGGGGAUCUUCGGACCUUGCGCGAUUGAAUGAGCCGAUGUCGGAUUAGCUAGUUGGCGGGGUAAAGGCCCACCAAAGCGACGAUCCGUAGCUGGUCUGAGAGGAUGAUCAGCCACACUGGAACUGAGACACGGUCCAGACUCCUACGGGAGGCAGCAGUGGGGAAUAUUGGACAAUGGGCGCAAGCCUGAUCCAGCCAUACCGCGUGGGUGAAGAAGGCCUUCGGGUUGUAAAGCCCUUUUGUUGGGAAAGAAAAGCAGCAGGUUAAUACCCCGCUGUUCUGACGGUACCCAAAGAAUAAGCACCGGCUAACUUCGUG